rnacentral:rRNA from 1 species
GAUGAACGCUGGCGGCGUGCUUAACACAUGCAAGUCGAACGAUGAAGCCCAGCUUGCUGGGUGGAUUAGUGGCGAACGGGUGAGUAACACGUGAGUAACCUGCCCUUAACUCUGGGAUAAGCCUGUUAAACUGGGUCUAAUACCGGAUAGGAGCGCCUACCGCAUGGUGGGUGUUGGAAAGAUUUAUCGGUUUUGGAUGGACUCGCGGCCUAUCAGCUUGUUGGUGAGGUAAUGGCUCACCAAGGCGACGACGGGUAGCCGGCCUGAGAGGGUGACCGGCCACAAUGGGACUGAGACACGGCCCAGACUCCUACGGGAGGCAGCAGUGGGGAAUAUUGCACAAUGGGCGAAAGCCUGAUGCAGCGACGCCGCGUGAGGGAUGACGGCCUUCGGGUUGUAAACCUCUUUCAGUAGGGAAGAAGCGAAAGUGACGGUACCUGCAGAAGAAGCACCGGCUAACUACGUG